UACGUAGGAUGCGAGCGUUAUCCGGAUUUAUUGGGUUUAAAGGGUGCGUAGGCGGAUCGUUAAGUCAGUGGUCAAAUUGAGGGGCUCAACCCCUUCCCGCCAUUGAAACUGGCGCUCUUGAGUGGAAGAGAAGUAUGCGGAAUGCGUGGUGUAGCGGUGAAAUGCAUAGAUAUCACGCAGAACCCCGAUUGCGAAGGCAGCAUGCCGGCUCCCGACUGACGCUGAAGCACGAAAGCGUGGGGAUCGAACAGG
rnacentral:rRNA from 1 species